rnacentral:rRNA from 1 species
GAUAUUGGUCAAUGGGGGGAACCCUGAACCAGCGACACCGCGUGAGGGCAGAAGGUUUUCGGAUUGUAAACCUCGCUUGUCGGGGAAGAUAAUGACGGUACACGCUGAGGAACCCACGGCUAACUACGCCCCAGAAGCCGCGGUAAUACGUAGGUGGCAAGCGUUGUCCGGAAUUACUGGGUGUAAAGGGAGCGUAGGCGGGAAGGCAAGUUGAAUGUUAAAUCUAUCGGCUCAACCGAUAACCGCGUUCAAAACUGUCUUUCUUGAAUGAAGUAGAGGCGAGCAGAAUUCCUAGUGUAGCGGUGAAAUGCGUAGAGAUUAGGAGGAAUACCAGUGGCGAAGGCGGCUUGCUGGGCUUUUACUGACGCUGAGGCUCGAAAGUGUGGGGAGCAAACA